rnacentral:lncRNA from 1 species
AACAGAGAUGACCUUUCUGAUAUGAAGUUUCCCUCUGCAUUUAACAGGAUUGGGAACCCCAGAGUAUCAGUGGAUCUGCUCCAUUUUGGGUGUGGCUGCAGUAAAUGACGAUAUGAGAAAAGACUCAUACAAAAAAAGAAUUUUUCUGGGAUUUAAGACCUUCGUCUUGGAAAGCUGAGGAAAGUCUCCAUUCUUGACUAAGCUACCUAACUUAAUGAUGGUUUCCUGAUUAGAUCAUUGCAGGAUCUGCAAAAUUUCGUUGUUUAAACGUACCUCUGGGGCUCUGGAAACAGGAUCAAUACCCAACCUAAUGAAGUAACUGAAGUCUGCAUGUAGGAUGAGAUUUACCUCUAGAGUUGAAGAGCUGGCCAAAGGUCUCUUUUGUUUAGAUGGAACCAAGAGUUUUUUCUGACCCUCCACACUGUAUUAAUCUAACCUUGAGGAAAACCUUUCUGCAGUCUUCACAUUUCACAAGAGAUGGCUCCUGGAUAUUUGUCUUCCUGAAGUUUUGCUAUGCCACCUGUUACCUGAAUGUUUAAGUGCAUCAUGUUUCUCUUCCACAACAGCAGCUUGCAGUCUGCUAAGAAGGAGUAAGCAGUCUCAGUUUUCAAGAUGGUACAAGUAUUUUACUUGGUUCAGUUUCUAGAAAACGUAUGACAAGUAUGUCUUUUUGCCUCUCUUCUUUCUCCAUUCAAGAAGAGGGAAUAAUCAAACUGCUAGGAAUUUUCUCUGUGUUUUGUAAAUAUUCUAAAUGUUUUCUUCUAGUACAUAUUGAUAUCCAAUAAAAAUAAAUCAUUUUUAUAAAUAAUUAGGUAC